rnacentral:rRNA from 1 species
UGGGGAAUUUUGGACAAUGGGCGCAAGCCUGAUCCAGCCAUGCCGCGUGCAGGAUGAAGGCCUUCGGGUUGUAAACUGCUUUUGUACGGAACGAAAAGGUGCCUUCUAAUAAAGGGCGCUCAUGACGGUACCGUAAGAAUAAGCACCGGCUAACUACGUGCCAGCAGCCGCGGUAAUACGUAGGGUGCGAGCGUUAAUCGGAAUUACUGGGCGUAAAGCGUGCGCAGGCGGUUUUGUAAGACAGAGGUGAAAUCCCCGGGCUCAACCUGGGAACUGCCUUUGUGACUGCAAGGCUGGAGUGCGGCAGAGGGUGAUGGAAUUCCUCGUGUAGUAGUGAAAUGCGUAGAUAUGCGGAGGAACACCGAUGGCGAAGGCAAUCCCCUGGGCCUGCACUGACGCUCAUGCACGAAAGCGUGGGGAGCAAACA